UAGGCAGGAGAUGAGCUGAUCUCUCUGGGCGCCUGUGUCUUUGUUUUGUCUUGUUGUGUGCUUGGAAGCUGAUGUAAGUCCAUCGAGUGGCAUUCGGGUUCCAGUGUGUGUUCUUGGUUCGGAUGCUGAUAUAAGUCCAGUGAUUGGCAUUCGGGCUCCAUGUUUGCCUUUUGCCUGUGUCUGUUUGUGUGUGUGUCAGCCGAGCUACGAAUGCUCUGAUUCUCCUUCGUCCAAGGAGAUACGUAUGCAUAGGAUGCGAUAUCCUAGCGAGCAUGUGUCG
rnacentral:lncRNA from 1 species